GACGAACGCUGGCGGCGUGCUUAACACAUGCAAGUCGAACGGAAAGGCCCUGCUUUUGUGGGGUGCUCGAGUGGCGAACGGGUGAGUAACACGUGAGUAACCUGCCCUUGACUUUGGGAUAACUUCAGGAAACUGGGGCUAAUACCGGAUAGGAGCUCCUGCUGCAUGGUGGGGGUUGGAAAGUUUCGGCGGUUGGGGAUGGACUCGCGGCUUAUCAGCUUGUUGGUGGGGUAGUGGCUUACCAAGGCUUUGACGGGUAGCCGGCCUGAGAGGGUGACCGGCCACAUUGGGACUGAGAUACGGCCCAGACUCCUACGGGAGGCAGCGGUGGGGAAUAUUGCACAAUGGGCGGAAGCCUGAUGCAGCAACGCCGCGUGCGGGAUGACGGCCAUCGGGUUGUAAACCGCUUUCGCCUGUGACGAAGCGUGAGUGACGGUAAUGGGUAAAGAAGCACCGGCUAACUACGUG
rnacentral:rRNA from 1 species